GCAAAUCAGAUAUUUUGAUUAAUAAAAAUAUUAUUAUGGCUUAAAAAUAGAAGUGAUUUUUGGAUGUGAAGUUUAAGUAYAYUYGAUUUUGAAUUAAUAAGAUUAAUAAUAGUUUAUUUGUACAGUGAUGGAUUAUUUGAAAGAGUUGAAAAAUUUAUUUGUGGGAAGAAGAAUAUUUGUACCUUUUGUAUCAGGGUUUAUUAAAAAUAAUUAAUUUAUUUUAUAUUCUCGAAUUGAAAAGAGUUAUUUACUUAUAAUUUAUGUUGUUGUAAAAACAUAUUUAAUUAGUAAAUGGUGAUGAAAUGUCAUUCGUUUUUCAUGAUAUCUAGUUUCUCAAGAUAGGAAUUUAAUUUCGAUCUUUAAUUAUAACAUAAAUGAAUAUAUUAUGUUUGGAUUUGAAAUGUAUUGUAUGAUAUAUGUUGAUUUUGGAGAUUUAGCAUCUUAGGGAUAAGCUUGAGAUGAUAAUUAUAUACGGGAAAUUAAUGAGUGAUGUGGGCUUUAAGGUAGCCAUUAUUUUUGAAUUUGUUAAAAAAUGUAUUUUAGAUUAUUUUUAUUGACUAUUAAUUGUAUAUUGAGAUAAUAAAGUUAAUUUUUCUUUUAUGUAAUAAUGAUGAAAUUAGUAAAUAUAAUUGUUUACAAGAUUAUUAUGAUCAUUUAUUUUAAGGAAUUAGGCAAAAUAUAUUGUUCGCCUGUUUAUCAAAAACAUGUCUUCUUGAAUUUAUAUGAAGUCGUGCCUGCCCAAUGAAGUUUUUAAUGGCCGCGGUAUUUUGACCGUGCAAAGGUAGCAUAAUCAUUAGUCUUUUAAUUGGGGGCUGGAAUGAAUGGUUUGACGAAGCAAUAACUGUCUCGGAUUAAUCAAAUUGAAUUUUAUCUUUAAGUUAAAAAGCUUAAAUAAUAAUGGGGGACGAGAAGACCCUAUAGAUCUUUAUACAUUGGAUUAAUAUAUUAAGGAUAGUAUUAUGACUUGAAUAUUGAUUUAUUGUAUUUGGUUGGGGUGACGAGAGAAUAAAAAAACUUCUUUAAAUUGGACUAUGAUGAUUGGAUAAUAGAUCCUGUAUUAUGGAAUUAAGAUAAAGAUACCUUAGGGAUAACAGCGUAAUUUUGUUGGAGAGUUCAUAUUGAUAAUAAAGAUUGCGACCUCGAUGUUGGAUUAAGAAUAUAGUUAGGUGCAGAAGUCUAAUUUAUUGGUCUGUUCGACCAUUAAAAUCUUACAUGAUCUGAGUUCAAACCGGUGUGAGCCAGGUUGGUUUCUAUCUCUAUUUAAUUGUUUGUAUUUUAGUACGAAAGGAUCAAAUACAUUAAAUAAUUUAUUGAUUGUGAAUGAUAUUAAU
rnacentral:rRNA from 1 species